UGAUCUGAUUUUGGCUCUCUAAGUUGAAGUUUAUGCUUCAUACCUGAGAGUAAAUCGGAUCAUAGCUUGCUGGGACCUUUUAUAAGAUGCUUCAGGACGUUGAGGUACAUUAGUUGAUGGCAUUUGAUGAUGAUAUUGGUGUAUUCUCACAUAGGAAUGGAUAAGGCCUUAGCGACUUUAAAACUUGGAGGAUAAUAGUUGUAUUUAUCUAAUUUGUAUCAAAACAUUUAGUUCAAUAAUUCAAUAAAACGAAACUAUU
rnacentral:lncRNA from 1 species